AUUUCCAUAACUUGAUCAGAGUCAUAGAAACUGCUUCCUGACUGACUGGUUCUCAAUUUCCUGCCUGUUCUAUGCUUCCAUCCCACCUCUCAGAAGUAGCUGCUAAGUCUGACUCUGUGCGACCCCAUAGAUGGCAGCCCACCAAGGCUCCUCUGUCCCUGGGAUUCUCCAGGCAAGAACACUGGAGUGGGUUGCCAUUUCCUUCUCCAAUGCAUGAAAGUGAAAAGUGAAAGGGAAGUUGCUCAGUCGUGUCAGACUCCUAGCAACCCCAUGGACUGCAGCCUACCAAGCUCCUCCAUCCAUGGGAUUUUCCAGGCAAGAGUACUGGAGUGGAGUGCCACUGCCUUCUCCGUCUCAAAAGUAGAGAUCAGUGCAUUUGCAAGAGUGGAGAGCAGAGACAUGAGGUGAAAUGGGGAGUCCUGACAAAAGCAAUUGACAAAGGCACGGUUUAUAAUAAAUGAGAAUCUUGGAAUUCUACUGCCAAAUUAUGCAGACCUUUCCAGAAAGAAAUAAUGUAGACAGCUGAAGAGGUUCAUCUCCAAGAGAGAAUACAUAACCAUCAUGAGGAGCAUUCCAAUGGCUCUUUCUCAGCUUUCUGGGACCGAGAGGCACCUGUGGAAGUGGCAGGAGAAGCUUUAUAGAGCUGAUUCCAGCUUCCUCAUCUCUGGAUCACUACUCUGUGGUGUGCUCUCUGGCUCAGCGUUUCUAAGUGGGAUCAGAAUUCCUGUGGGGAAAAAAAUCAAUGAAAAUAUUCAUAGUACAGAUGCCAUUCUUUCUGUCGGAACUGCAACCAUGGAAGUGAAAAAGUCUGUAUCAUGUGGGAAGUGA
rnacentral:lncRNA from 1 species